rnacentral:rRNA from 1 species
AGUCAUAUGCUUGUCUCAAAGAUUAAGCCAUGCAUGUCUCAGUACAAGCCAAAUUAAGGUGAAACCGCGAAAGGCUCAUUAAAUCAGUUAUGGUUCCUUAGAUCGUACCCACACUUACUUGGAUAACUGUGGUAAUUCUAGAGCUAAUACAUGCAAAUAGAGCUCCUACCAGAGAUGGCAGGAGCGCUUUUAUUAGAUCAAAACCAAUCGGUGACGCUCGCGUUACCGUACUCCUUGGUGACUCUGAAUAACUUGUUGCUGAUCGCACGGUCUCGAACCGGCGACGCAUCUUUCAAAUGUCUGCCUUAUCAACUGUCGAUGGUAGGUUCUGCGCCUACCAUGGUUGUAACGGGUAACGGGGAAUCAGGGUUCGAUUCCGGAGAGGGAGCCUGAGAAACGGCUACCACAUCCAAGGAAGGCAGCAGGCGCGCAAAUUACCCACUCCCGGCACGGGGAGGUAGUGACGAAAAAUAACGAUACGGGACUCAUCCGAGGCCCCGUAAUCGGAAUGAGUACACUCUAAACCCUUUAACGAGGAUCAAUUGGAGGGCCAGUCUGGUGCCAGCAGCCGCGGUAAUUCCAGCUCCAAUAGCGUAU